rnacentral:rRNA from 1 species
GGCAUUAACUGACGCUGAGGAGCGAAAGCAUGGGGAGCGAACAGGAUUAGAUACCCUGGUAGUCCAUGCCGUAAACGUUGGGCACUAGGUGUGGGGGACAUUCCACGUUUUCCGCGCCGUAGCUAACGCAUUAAGUGCCCCGCCUGGGGAGUACGGCCGCAAGGCUAAAACUCAAAGGAAUUGACGGGGGCCCGCACAAGCGGCGGAGCAUGCGGAUUAAUUCGAUGCAACGCGAAGAACCUUACCAAGGCUUGACAUGAACUGGAAAUACCUGGAAACAGGUGCCCCGCUUGCGGUCGGUUUACAGGUGGUGCAUGGUUGUCGUCAGCUCGUGUCGUGAGAUGUUGGGUUAAGUCCCGCAACGAGCGCAACCCUCGUUCUAUGUUGCCAGCACGUGAUGGUGGGGACUCAUAGGAGACUGCCGGGGUCAACUCGGAGGAAGGUGAGGACGACGUCAAAUCAUCAUGCCCCUUAUGUCUUGGGCUUCACGCAUGCUACAAUGGCCGGUACAAUGGGUUGCGAUACUG